UACGCCGCGGAUACGUAUCCUAGACGUAUCCGUGAGCUGGGCCGUAUUGGGCCGAAAAACCUCAGAUUGGAUACGUAUUUGAUAGGAUACGGCCCAGUUACAGCCCACCUAAAGGAGCAUACAGCCCCCUGUUGCCCUAACCCAACUCCCCCACACGCAGCCGCUCCGCUCGUCCCGCUCCCCCACGUGCGACUCGCGCCGCCACUCGUGGCCGGCCCCCGCCGGAGCAGCCUCCGCCCUCGCCGGCGACGACGAGCCACGGCCGCAACCCGCAGGGACCCCAGGACCAGGAGCUCCCCGCGCGGCAACGACGAGCCGGAACCGCGGCUGCACCGCUGCAGGGACCAGAGAACCUCCGCCCGCCUGGCUGCUGCAGAGGACCCCCGCCCGUCUCAAGCAGUAUGGCAUCUCCAAAUCUGAGUGAUGCUAGUGCUAGUGCUAGUGCUGCUGCUAGUUCUAGUGUUGGAUCUGGGGCCAGACAAAUAACUGAUAUCAGGGCUCCAUUGUGGGAUCAUGUCACCAUUCUAGAGAAGCCUAAACCUGGUGGAGGAAAUAUAUUAUGGAGAUGCAACUAUUGUCCAUUUUCAAAAAGCACUAGCUACACAAGCGUUGAAGCUCAUUUGCUGCAGAAAUUAAGACAGGGGAUUAAGACAUCUCUAUUUUGUAAUUUAUUAUGCACUAUUAUUAUUUAUUAAAAAAUAGUUAAAACGUA